GAGGUAUGAGGAAAAUAUCUAAGCAGUCUGACUGUCACUGUAGACUGAUAAGAUCCAACUCUGACCUUAGCAAAACC